rnacentral:rRNA from 1 species
AUUGAACGCUGGCGGCAGGCCUAACACAUGCAAGUCGAGCGAGCGGCGGACGGGUGAGUAAUGUAUGGGAAACUGCCUGAUGGAGGGGGAUAACUACUGGAAACGGUGGCUAAUACCGCAUACCAUCCGAUGUACCCAGAUGGGAUUAGCUAGUAGGUGGGGUAAUGGCUCACCUAGGCGACGAUCCCUAGCUGGUCUGAGAGGAUGAUCAGCCACACUGGGACUGAGACACGGUCCAGACUCCUACGGGAGGCAGCAGUGGGGAAUAUUGCACAAUGGGCGCAAGCCUGAUGCAGCCAUGCCGCGUGUGUGAAGAAGGCCUUCGGGUUGUAAAGCACUUUCAGCGGGGAGGCGUUACUCGCAGAAGAAGCACCGGCUAACUCCGUGCCAGCAGCCGCGGUAAUAC